CGUAACAAGGUCUCCGUAGGUGAACCUGCGGAGGGAUCAUUACACAAAUAUGAAGGCGGGCUGGAACCUCUCGGGGUUACAGCCUUGCUGAAUUAUUCACCCUUGUCUUUUGCGUACUUCUUGUUUCCUUGGUGGGUUCGCCCACCACUAGGACAAACAUAAACCUUUUGUAAUUGCAAUCAGCGUCAGUAACAAAUUAAUAAUUACAACUUUCAACAACGGAUCUCUUGGUUCUGGCAUCGAUGGAGAACGCAGCGAAAUGCGAUAAGUAGUGUGAAUUGCAGAAUUCAGUGAAUCAUCGAAUCUUUGAACGCACAUUGCGCCCUUUGGUAUUCCAAAGGGCAUGCCUGUUCGAGCGUCAUUUGUACCCUCAAGCUUUGCUUGGUGUUGGGCGUCUUGUCUCUAGCUUUGCUGGAGACUCGCCUUAAAGUAAUUGGCAGCCGGCCUACUGGUUUCGGAGCGCAGCACAAGUCGCACUCUCUAUCAGCAAAGGUCUAGCAUCCAUUAAGCCUUUUUUUCAACUUUUGACCUCGGAUCAGGUAGGGAUACCCGCUGAACUUAAGCAUAUCA
rnacentral:rRNA from 1 species